UUCAUUCCUCUUGCCUCUUCUUCCACUGUUUGCCCUCUCUCUCUCCUCUGGACUUCACGGCGACCAGCCAUCAUCGACUGAAGCAGGAUAAGAGGGUACGCAAAUGGAUCAGACUGAAGUAGUUGGCGAGAAGCUGCCCGAUGGCUUAUUGGAGAGUGUACCUGAAAGUAGACCGGAGACUCGAGAUGAAAUGCUUUCUAGGCACAGGAAAGAGGUGUCACAGCUACAAAA